rnacentral:rRNA from 1 species
GAGUUUGAUCCUGGCUCAGGAUGAACGCUGGCGGCGUGCCUAAUACAUGCAAGUCGAGCGAACUUAACUAAAUGAAUGCGGUGCUUGCACCAAGUGAUUUUAGAGCGGUGAGCGGCGGAUGGGUGAGUAACACGUGGGUAACCUGCCUCUAAGCAGGGGAUAACAUUUGGAAACAGAUGCUAAUACCGUAUAAAUCCUCAAACCACAUGGUUUNAGGCUGAAAGGCGCCUUCGGCUGUCAUUUAGAGAUGGACCCGCGCCGUAUCAGCUAGUUGGUGAGGUAAUGGCUCACCAAGGCAAUGAUAUCGUAGCCGAACUGAGAGGUUGAUCGGCCACAUUGGGACUGAGACACGGCCCAAACUCAUACGGGAGGCAGCAGUAGGGAAUCUUCCACAAUGGACGCAAGUCUGAUGGAGCAACGCCGCGUGAGUGAAGAAGGCUUUCGGGUCGUAAAACUCUGUUGUUGAAGAAGAACACGUUUGAGAGUAACUGUUCAGACGUUGACGGUAUUCAACCAGAAAGCCACGGCUAACUACGUGCCAGCAGCCGCGGUAAUACGUAGGUGGCAAGCGUUAUCCGGAUUUAUUGGGCGUAAAGCGAGCGCAGGCGGUUUUUUAAGUCUGAUGUGAAAGCCCUCGGCUUAACCGAGGAAGUGCAUCGGAAACUGGGAAACUUGAAUGCUGAAGAGGACAGUGGAACUCCAUGUGUAGCGGUGAAAUGNGUAGAUAUAUGGAAGAACCCCAGUGGNGAAGGCGGCGGUCUGGUCAGUUAUUGACGCUGAGGCUCGAAAGCAUGGGUAGCGACCAGGAUUAGAUACCCUGGUAGUCCAUGCCGUAAACGAUGAAUACUAGGUGUUGGAGGGUUUCCCCCCUUCAGUGCCGCAGCUAACGCAUUAAGUAUUCCGCCUGGGGAGUACGACCGCAAGGUUGAAACUCAAAAGGAAUUGACGGGGGCCCGCACAAGCGGUGGAGCAUGUGGUUUAAUUCGAAGCAACGCGAAGAACCUUACCAGGUCUUGACAUCUUCUGCUAUUUCUAGAGAUAGAAAGUUCCCUUCGGGGACGGAAUGACAGGUGGUGCAUGGUUGUCGUCAGCUCGUGUCGUGAGAUGUUGGGUUAAGUCCCGCAACGAGCGCAACCCUUAUGACUAGUUGCCAGCAUUAAGUUGGGCACUCUAGUAAGACUGCCGGUGACAAACCGGAGGAAGGUGGGGACGACGUCAAAUCAUCAUGCCCCUUAUGACCUGGGCUACACACGUGCUACAAUGGUUGGUACAACGAGUUGCGAACCCGCGAGGGCAAGCUAAUCUCUUAAAGCCAAUCUCAGUUCGGACUGUAGGCUGCAACUCGCCUACACGAAGUCGGAAUCGCUAGUAAUCGCGGAUCAGCAUGCCGCGGUGAAUACGUUCCCGGGCCUUGUACACACCGCCCGUCACACCAUGAGAGUUUGUAACACCCAAAGCCGGUGGGGCAACCCUUCGGGGAGCUAGCCGUCUAAGGUGGGACAGAUGAUU